ACUGAAUUCUCGUCUCAAAAUUCUUGUCUUAGAUUUGUCUAGAUACGGAUGUAUCAAGUCACAUUUUAGUAUUAGAUACAUCCGUAUCUAGACAAAUGUAAGACAAGAAUUUUGGGACGGAGGGAGUAGAUA
rfam:Triticum aestivum genome assembly, contig: Triticum_aestivum_CS42_TGACv1_scaffold_500600_6BL